rnacentral:rRNA from 1 species
CCUACGGGUGGCAGCAGUGAGGAAUAUUGGUCAAUGGCCGUAAGGCUGAACCAGCCAAGUCGCGUGAAGGACGAAGGUUCUAUGGUUUGUAAACUUCUUUUAUAGGGGAAUAAAGGUAUCCACGUGUGGCUAUUUGCAUGUACCCUAUGAAUAAGCAUCGGCUAACUCCGUGCCAGCAGCCGCGGUAAUACGGAGGAUGCGAGCGUUAUCCGGAUUUAUUGGGUUUAAAGGGUGCGUAGGUUGUUUUUUAAGUCAGCGGUGAAAGGUUGUGGCUCAACCAUAAAAUUGCCGUUGAAACUGGAAGACUUGAGUGUGUUUGAGGUAUGCGGAAUGCGUGGUGUAGCGGUGAAAUGCAUAGAUAUCACGCAGAACUCCGAUUGCGAAGGCAGCUUACUAAGCCAUAACUGACACUGAAGCACGAAAGCGUGGGGAUCAAACAGGAUUAGAUACCCCUGUAGUC